rnacentral:lncRNA from 1 species
UUAGGUGAAAAAAGAAAUAAACUCGGAUAUAUUCGCCUGUCUCAGAAGUCUGAAAUUCUAAAUCUCUGGCAACAGCAAUAAAGAUAAUAAAAAUGAACCCCUUUCCUCCGUCGCCACCACUACCACCCCCACCGUCCUCCACCUUUCUGCCACCGCUACCGCCACCAUACUUUCACCACCCCACUCCAACUCCCACUUCCACUCCGACCACUACUCCGCCGGCAUACGAUCUUCCCACUGCUCUCUCAACCCUCACGUCUCUCCUCAGUCUCUCAUCAACCACUCUCCACUCUCUCUCUUCCCUUCUCCC